AGAUGAUGAUGAUGAUGAUGAUGAUGAUGAUGGUGGUGGUGAUGAUGAUGGAGGUGGUGAUGAAUAUUAACAUCAUGAAGAUGGUGAUGAUGGUGGUGACCAUCAACAUCACCACUAUCACCAUCAUCAUCAUCAUCAUCA
rnacentral:pre_miRNA from 1 species